UGACGACCGGCGCACGGGUGAGUAACACGUAUGCAACCUACCUUCUACACGGGGAUAGCCCGUCGAAAGACGGAUUAAUACCCGAUAAUACAGGGGCUCCGCAUGGAGAUAUUGUAAAGAAUUCGGUAGAAGAUGGGCAUGCGUUCCAUUAGGUAGUUGGUAAGGUAACGGCUUACCAAGCCUGCGAUGGAUAGGGGAACUGAGAGGUUUAUCCCCCACACUGGUACUGAGACACGGACCAG
rnacentral:rRNA from 1 species